UUUGUAUACAAAUGCUGAUAUUUUACAUGAGAACUUUUGUGGACAUUAGUGUGGGAAACUUGUGUUGUCCUGCCAGAAUCAUAGAUUAAUAUUUUAUGAUUUUUGAAUUUUGCUAGCUUGAUUGCGAGUUGGAUCAUUAAAGUGCACCACAAAAGUUCUCAUGUAAAAUAUCAGCAUUUGUAUACAAAAUAUGUGCCAAUUCGUUACAUAGAACUCAAUAGUGAAGUCUCCCAUAAACA
rnacentral:misc_RNA from 1 species